GACAGAGGAGGCAAGCGUUGUUCGGAGUCAUGGGGCUUAAAGCGCGCGUAGGCGGCCUUGUAAGUGUCUUGUGAAAUCCCACGGCUCACCCGUGGAACUGCAGGGCAAACUGCAAGACUUGAGGUCGGUAGAGGCGCCUGGAACUCUAGGUGGAGCGGUGAAAUGCGUAGAUAUCUAGGGGAACGCCGGAGGCGAAAGCGCGGCGCUGGGCCGAUUCUGACGCUGAUGCGCGAAAGCGUGUGGAGCAAACAGG
rnacentral:rRNA from 1 species